UGGGGAAUUUUGCACAAUGGGCGCAAGCCUGAUGCAGCCAUGCCGCGUGUAUGAAGAAGGCCUUCGGGUUGUAAAGUACUUUCAGCGGGGGGGAAGGGAGUACAGUUAAUACCUUUGCUCAUUGACGUUACCUGCAGAAGAAGCACCGGCUAACUCCGUGCCAGCAUCCGCGGUAAUACGGAGGGUGCAAGCGUUAAUCGGAAUUACUGGGCGUAAAGCGCACGCAGGCGGUUUGUUAAGUCAGAUGUGAAAUCCCCGGGGUCAACCUGGGAACUGCAUCUGAUACUGGGAAGCUUGAGUCUCGUAGAGGGGGGUAGGAUUCCAGGUGUAGCGGUGAAAUGGGUAGAGAUCUGGAGAGAUACCGGUGGCGAAGGCGGCCCCCUGGACGAAGACUGACGCUCAGGUGCGAAAGCGUGGGGAGCAAACAGG
rnacentral:rRNA from 1 species